GCCUCUAUAGUUCAAUGGAUAGAGCACUGGCCUCCGAAGCCAGUUAUGUGGGUUCGACUCCCGCUAGAGGCA
rnacentral:tRNA from 1 species